AGCAAAUGGUCUGAUUUUCAAAAGUCCCUUUAGUCAAUGGGAGCCGCAUGUGGCUCAGUACCAUCAACCUCAAUGAUUGUUUUCAUUUCUAUAUCCCUAAAUUGUAGAAAGAAAAUGGAGUGGGAGAUGGGACAGUUAACCCCCUACAUAAUAUGAUAUGGAAUUUGCCCUAAAUAUGUUUUCCAACAUUUUUUGGCAGGCAUCAACAUCUUUAAAGCAGCUUUAUACAAUGUUGUGCAAUCAAGUGAGCUUAUGGAACUGGAAAAUCGAGCAAGACAAUUUGGGAUGACCAUCUGUUUUAGGUGCAGAAGGGGAUGACGAGUGUUGGUCCAGACACUGCAAUGAUCUGCUAUCCUGUUCAGAAUGUGCCACGGGAUCAUUAACUUCCAUCUGGGGUCAACCAUCCCAGAGAUGAUGAGUAGAAG